UGAACAGUAAAUAUCGAGCCUGCAUGUAGGGUCAUGUAAAGUUACAAUGACUCAAACCCAGCAAGGGGCACUCCACCCCUUGUGGAAUGGUUCUUGUUACAAGAAGUUGCAGUGGAGUCUACUGCCUUUAGUUCACUUGGAGUUUGAAGUGUAUAAGAUUACAAGAGGGCUGGACAGGAAGCAUGUAUUACCCCUCGGAGUCAAAUAAUUAAGUGUACUUCAAGGCAUAAAAAAUGCGACGAUGCUGGAGGAACUCAGCAGGCCAGGCAGCAUCCAUGGAGAAAAGCAGGCAGUCAACGUUUCAG